rnacentral:rRNA from 1 species
CGGCCAAGGGCGAAACAGGUAAUUUGGGCUAAUUCGUAACAAGGUAGCCCUACCGGAAGGUGUGGCUGGAACACCUCCUUU